rnacentral:lncRNA from 1 species
AAAAACUGGCAGAAUUUGCAGUGUGAUCAGCAAGUCUACGCUGAGGAUGCCCAUCUUCUCUGCCUCCUGACCCCAGCAUAAAGACAUGGGAUAUGUGAGAAAAGGAAUAGGAAAAAGCCAAAGAGACACCGGCUUACAUUAGAAAAUCUACUCAAAAUCACUCAAAGGAUUGACAACUGACAAAAUAAAUGGUGGCCAGAUGCAGUGGCUUAGGCCUGUAAUCCUAGCACUUUGGGAGGCCAAGGUGGAAGAACUGCUUGAGUCCAGGAGUUCAAGACCAGCCUGGACAACACGGUGAAACCGUGUCUCUACAAAAAACACAAAAACAUUAGCCAGGCAUAGUGGCAUGUGCCUGAAGUCUCAGCUACCCGGGAGGCUGAGGAGGAAGGAUCACCUGAGACCUGGAGGUUAAGACUUACAUUGAGCCACGAUCACACCAGCCCUCCAGCCUGGGUGCAAACCAGCUCUCCUCUACUAGAGUUUGGAAGACUUUCAACCAAUCAGUCGUUCAGAAAAUAAUACUGGAUACCUACUAAGUUCAAGGCAUUGUUUGUGCUAUAUGAACACAGCAAUGAACAACAAUAAUAACAAUAAAUAAACAAAAACUCAUCUAUACUCAUGGAGUUUACAGUCAAGGGGCCAAGAGAGAAAAUUAAGAAAUAAAAUGAAUGAACUCCUCAAUCUGAACAGAUCAAUGGUGUUCAUCAACCAAUGUCACGAUUUGAGCAGCCAAUACCAGUAUAUCUGCUUCUGACAACAAGCAAGACUGAAGUUAAUCCAUUUAGCAUGAUGAUGAAAAUGAAGUCAUCAAUGAAGUUGCAAGCUUAGGAUAUCCUUCACAUUAACCACCAGUAGCCCAACUAUUUAACUAAAGGAACUUUGUAAUAUCUGGACUCAGAAACUGAGAUAAAUGCCAUAACCAAUCAUCCAACCGGAGACUGAGGCUAGCAAUACAUAGUAUGAUACUCUGUCACGAUUUUGAGCAGCGGUAGCGAGCCUCAGAUUCCAGUUGGCCACAUGACCAUAAGGGUAACCAACUGAUACUCUACCAUGUACUAUGUUCCCAGAUGAUUUUGCCCAACUGUAGGCUAAGUGUUCUGCAGGCCAAAGCACCAUACUUUUGGAUAUCAUUUGCUGAAUCCCAAUGUUGGUAAAGCAUGAACUUGAAGUGGAACUUCAAAGAGGCAGAGUCAGCCAAGCCGAAAGUGAGGUUUGCCAAGAUUGAUCAUUGAUGUGAAAAGAUUAAUCAUAAGUGGAACAUGGCCUCCCAGCUACAGACUACAUUUACCAGCAUCCCUUGAAGCUAAGUAUGUUCAUGUGAUGAGAUUCUGGGCAACGGAGGAGGAGUGGAAUUUAUAUGUCACUUCCUUGAAGACACCUGCCAUGAACUCUUUCUCCAGCAGCGCUGAGGAGUGCGACAUUCAGGAAAUGGCAAUGCGGCAGUAAGGAAGGAAUCUGUGCCCUUUAAUGACCUAGAGGAGUAGAUCCACUUCGCCACCUGGACCGGCCAGACUAAUGUGAGAAAUACACUUCUAUCUAUGUAAGCCAGUACAUUUGGGGGUUUCUUUGUAAUAGCAUCUCAACCUCUAUCCAUGAAAAAAAAAAAAAAAAAAAAAAAAAAAAAA